rnacentral:rRNA from 1 species
UACGAAGGGGGCUAGCGUUGCUCGGAAUGACUGGGCGUAAAGGGCGCGUAGGCGGAUUGAUCAGUCGGGCGUGAAAUUCCUGGGCUUAACCUGGGGGCUGCGUUCGAGACGGUUGGUCUAGAGUUUGGAAGAGGGUCGUGGAAUUCCCAGUGUAGAGGUGAAAUUCGUAGAUAUUGGGAAGAACACCGGUGGCGAAGGCGGCGACCUGGUCCUUGACUGACGCUGAGGCGCGAAAGCGUGGGGAGCAAACAG